CCGCUGCAAGAGUCGGGCGCCGGACACCCGCACGCAUUCUUCUCCUCCCUUGCCCGCUGGCUUUCUGGACGUCUUUCGAGCUGCCUCUCUGUGGCGAGGCUCCCUCACUCUGAUCUAGCGAUUGUUGGGAGGUUCAGGGCUUAAGUCAACCACAGGCAAAGUGAAACCCCAUGGAGGAGCAGCAGAAAUAGUCAGUGUUACUGUGAUGGACAUAUACCAGAAGCUCUCCCUUGGCCCAUAAGGAAACAAAAUACUGUUUUACACCCUUACCUUGCAGGGCCUCUUCUGCUAGGGCUACUAUUCCCAGUAGGCAAGUCCUGGCAGUGACGCCAUCGGUAUUUCCCUUCUCAGGCCCUGACCUAGAUGAUAUUACCAGCGCACUCAAUGGGGAUCCAGACAAACUGCAAUGCUUAAAUGAGAUGUUUUACAUAGACUGGUGGGUACUUUGAGGUCAAGUAAGUUAACAGUCCUAAAUGAGUCGUGCUGCUGCUAGAUGUUGGUACCAUGAUCCUUCUUUCCCUGGAGGUGAUCGAAGAAAGUUCACACAGUAUUUUGUAUUAUACUGAAGACAUCAUGAGAAAAGAUAAUUAAUGGAAGAAGCAGAUGCUGGCUGGAUAAAGCAACCCAUCAGUUCUUGGAUAAACGCUGGACGUUUUAGAUUUAGAUUUUUUUUUCAGAUGAACUUCAAAGGCCAUGCAGCAAAGCAUAUCCUCCAAUUCAUCACUAAAAUUGUCAUCCACUUGAUACAACGCUAAUGACCCACUGGAAUUGGAACGCCAUUGUCUGACACACUCUGCUUAUUGUUGACACAGAUUUAGCAGACAGCACAAAACUGGAUGAGCUCUCAUUGCAGCUGAAGAGGAACGAAGCGAACACAUGAUUUCGAAGGAGAUUUUGGAUAGAGUAGAAAGAAGGAAAUGGAAGAAUAAAUUGUUUUACUUACAAUUUUUGUGUAUAGAGAUUAUAGGUUAAAAUUACUUGUACUGUAAUAUUUUCAUUUAAUGUUAGACUAUAUACUCAAUGUCCACUUUAUUAGGUACAUUUGUUCACUUGCUAGUUAAUGCAGAUAUCUAAUUAGCCAGUCAUGUGGCAGCAACUCAAUGCAUAAAAGCAUGCAGACAUGAUCAACAGGUUCUGUUGUUAUUCAGACCAAGAAUGGAGAAGAAAUGUGAUCUAAGUGACUUUGACCAUGAAAUAAUUGUUGAUGCUAGAUGGGGUGGUUUGAAUAUCUCAUAAACUGCAGAUCUCCUGGGAUUUUCACACACAACAGUCCAGAGUUUACUGAGAAAAGUGAAAAACAUCCAAUGAGAGGCAAAAAUGGCUUGUUAAUGAGAGAGGUCAGAGGAGAAUGGCCAGACUGGUUAAAGCUGACAGGAAGGCGACAGUAUCUCUGCAGAAAAGCAUCUCUGAAUGCAUAACCAUAUUGAACCUUGAAAUGGAUGGGCUACAGCAGCAAACGACCAUGUACGUUCACUCAGUGGCCUUUUUAUUAGUACAGGAGUAUCUAAUUAAGUGGCCACUGAGUGUGUAUUUGGCCAGACCAUGGCAGGAAAAGAACAGGUAAAUCUGUUUCAUUUUAAUGGUCCCUGGCUGAUUUCUACCAAGGCAGAAUUAGAAGUGAGAUGUCAGGGUUUCAGUAUGAAAGAUUUUUAAUAAACUGACUAUUUUUGUAGAUAAAUAAGCAUGUGUGUUUCAUAAGAAGCAAAGUUUGGUCUUAUUUGUCUUUUUAAAUCUUGACUUAAUUCAAAAUAUCUGCUCAGUUCACAGUCGGCAGAAGUCAAUACAAUCCUGUUUCUGAACUGUAAAGUAACACAACUGACAGCAUUAAUGAAAAAUAUUUAACAUUCAAUAAAUGGCCAACUUGUUAAGACUUAUCAAUGCAACGCUGACAUGAGAAAUAAAAAUGUAGCUUGCUCAUAUUUUCAGCAUCAUCCUAAUCAGAACAAUUUAUCUGAACAGCAGGGCCCAGGGGAAUGAGUUACCUCUGUAAUUAUACAAAGUCGAAACUCUGAUGGUUGAGGGCUAAUCAUAUUGUGCAAGUUCUCUCAACCCAAUAUCCUAUUUUGUUCAUCUGUUCAGUCUUGCUUGAAAGUUGCUGUUGGAAAUGUAAUUACCGUGAGCCCUUUUUAAAAGUAAUUUUCUUAGUGACUUCUGUUUUCAGUCUGCUCAUUGAUGUCAGUAGCACAUUUUUUUUAAACAGUUUAUAAAACUCCAUAAAUAGAACAAACAUAGGGUAGUUUUAACUGUCUACUUUUAAAAACUGGCAUUAAUGAUGUUAAUCAACACACACAAAAUGCUGGAGGAAUUCAGCAGGCCAGACAGCAUCUAUGGAAAAGAGUACAGUUGAUAUUUUGGGCUGAGACCUUUCAUCAGGACUGGAAAGAAAAGGGGAGGGAGUCAGGCUAAGAAGGUGGGGAGGAAGAAGUAGAAGGUGGCAGGUGAUUGGUGAAACUGGGAGAGGAGGAAGAAUGAAAUAAAGAGCUUGGAAGUUGAUUGGUGAAAGGGAGAAAGGACUGGGGGAGUCUGAUAGCACAGGAGAGAAGAUCAUGGAAGAAAGGGAAGGGGGAGGAGCACCAGAGGGAGGAGAUGGGCAGGUAAGGAGGUAAGGUGGGAGAGGGAAACAGGAUGGGGAAUGGUGAAAGUGGGGGGGAGACAAUUGUCAGAAGUUCAAGAAAUCGAUGCUCAUGCCAUUAGGUUGGAGGUUACCCAGACGGAAUAUAAGGUGUUGAUCUUCCAACUUGAGUGUGGCCUCGUAGUGUCAAUAGAGGAGGCCAUGGACUGACAUGUCCGAAUAGGAAGCAGAAUUGAAGUGGGUGGCCAGUGGGAAAUCCUGCUUUUUGUGGCAGAUGGAGCGAAGAUACAUGGCGAACCGGUCUCCCAAUCUAUGUUGUGUCUCACCAAUAUACAGGAGUUCACACUGGGAAUAGCAGAUACAGUAGAUGCCCCCAACAGACUUGCAGGUGAAGUGCCGCCUCUCCUGGAAGGACUGUUUGGGGCCCUUAAUGGUAGUGAGGGAGGAGGUGUUAGGGGCAGGUGUGGCACUUGUUCCAUUUGCAAGGGUAGCUGAGGGAGAUCAGUGGAGAGGGAUGAGUGGAAAAGGGAGUUGCGUAGGGAGUGCUCCCUAUGCGAAGCAGAAAGUGGGGAGUUUCCAGCAUCUGCAGAUUUUCUUGUGAUCUUCAUCCUUGUAAUUAUGGAUUUAUGAUUUAGGAAUGGGCCAAAGGCCCUGCUUCUGUGUUGUAGAGCUCUAUUACUCCAGGUAAAUGAAGUGUUGUUCAAUAUUGCAACCAACUAUUUUUCACUGGCUCUUCAGAGUUAUAUUAAAAGUAAAUGUUUUUGACUACUAGGCUAGGUAAGAAAGAAGAGUUUAUUAUAUGUAUAAGCAACACACACAAAAUGCUGGUGGAAUGCAGCAGGUCAGGCAGCAUCUGUGGUGGUUUCUUUCGAACUUAUAGUCUUUUAACAUCUUUGGACUAUUUUUACUGUGCCCAAGGUCUGUUUUUUUUAUCAGUUAUGUUAUUGUUUGCACUGUUGUAACUAUAUAUUGUAACUAUUUGGUUUUGUGCAGGUCUUGCAGCUUUAGUUUUUGGUCUUCUUUUGUCUGCGAUUGGAGCUCUUUUCCGGGGAACGUGCUAAGAUGGUAGUGUGAUAUUAAUACACAGCAGCCUCUCCGGACUCUGGAUUGGGGAUUGCCAAACAUUACGAGGAUUUUCUGGUGUAGUCUGUUUUGUCGUGUGUUUUUGUGAUAUCAUUCUGGAGGAACGUUGUCUCAUUUUUUAAUCUGCAGUGCAUUUGUGGUUACUAAAUGACAAUAAACUGAAACUGAACUGAACUGAACUGAUCUAUAGGAAGAAGUACAGUUGAUGUUUCGGGCCGAGAUCUUUUGUCAGGACUAACUGAAAGAGAGAUAGUAAGAGUUUGAGAGGGGGAGGGGAAAUCCAAAAUGAUAGGAGAAGACAGGAGGGGGAAACUAAGAGCUGGAAAGUUGAUUGGCGAAAGUGAUACCGAGCUGGAGAAGGGAAAGGAUCAUGAGACGGGAGGGCUAGUGCGAAAGAAAGGGGGAGGGGAGCACCAGAGGAAGAUGGAGAACAGGCAGAGUGAUUGUGAAAGGGACAGAGAGAGAAAAAAAGAGAGAAACAAGGGGGGUUAAAUAAAUAAACAGAUAAAUAAGGGAUGGGGUAAGAAGGGGAGGAGGGGCAUUAACGGAAGUUAGAGAAAUCAAUGUUCAUGCCAUCAGGUUGGAGGCUACCCACCACUUUAAAAUCUCUUACUAUUUUUUCUUUCAGUUAGUCCUGACGAAGGGUCUCGGCCUGAAAUGUCGACAGUGCUUCUUCCUAUAGAUGCUGCCUGGCCUGGUGCAUUCCACCAGCAUUUUGUGUGUGUUGUUUGAAUUUCCAGCAUCUGCAGAUUUCCUCAUGUUUGCGUUAUUGUGUGUGUGUGUGUGUGUGUGUUUAU